rnacentral:rRNA from 1 species
UACAGAGGUCUCAAGCGCUGUUCGGAUUCAUUGGGCGUAAAGGGUGCGUAGGCGGCGCGGUAAGUCGGGUGUGAAAUCUCGGAGCUUAACUCCGAAACUGCAUUCGAUACUGCCGUGCUUGAGGACUGGAGAGGAGACUGGAAUUUACGGUGUAGCGGUGAAAUGCGUAGAUAUCGUAAGGAAGACCAGUGGCGAAGGCGGGUCUCUGGACAGUUCCUGACGCUGAGGCACGAAGGCCAGGGGAGCAAACGGG